AGUGAACGCUGGCGGUAGGCCUAACACAUGCAAGUCGAACGGCAGCACAGUAAGAGCUUGCUCUUACGGGUGGCGAGUGGCGGACGAGUGAGGAAUACAUCGGAAUCUACUUUUUCGUGGGGGAUAACGUAGGGAAACUUACGCUAAUACCGCAUACGACCUACGGGUGAAAGCAGGGGAUCUUCGGACCUUGCGCGAUUGAAUGAGCCGAUGUCGGAUUAGCUAGUUGGCGGGGUAAAGGCCCACCAAGGCGACGAUCCGUAGCUGGUCUGAGAGGAUGAUCAGCCACACUGGAAUGGAGACACGGUCCAGACUCCUACGGGAGGCAGCAGUGGGGAAUAUUGGACAAUGGGCGCAAGCCUGAUCCAGCCAUACCGCGUGGGUGAAGAAGGCCUUCGGGUUGUAAAGCCCUUUUGUUGGGAAAGAAAAGCAGCAGGUUAAUACCCCGCUGUUCUGACGGUACCCAAAGAAUAAGCACCGGCUAACUUCGUG
rnacentral:rRNA from 1 species